rnacentral:lncRNA from 1 species
UGGCCCCGCUCCCUCUGCUGCCCCAGCAGAGCAGCCCCCGGCUCCAGGCACUGAGGAUGCCAGCACCUCCAAGGCCAAGGAGAGCACGAGUGCAGCCACUCCUCCCCCGGUGAGGAACGGGCAGGCAGCCCCAGCCCCAGCCCCAGCCCCGGGCCAGGCAGCGCCCAGCAGCUCCCAGCUCGCUGUCAGCCAGCCCCAGAACGCUGCUGGGCCCAGUCCCCACGCCCUGAGGAGAGCUAUGAAGAAGCCUGCACCAGCCCCCCCCAAGCCAGCCAACCCCCCCCCGGGGCAGCCAGGCAGCCAAAGCUCUUCCCCAGCUGCUCAGCCUCCUUCUGUCUCUCCCAAGCCCCCGGGCAGGA